GGUUAAGUUAAUAAGGGCGCAUGGUGGAUGCCUUGGCACUAGGAGCCGAUGAAGGACGUGACUAACUGCGAUAUGCUUCGGGGAGUUGUAAGUAAACUUUGAGCCGGAGAUUUCCGAAUGGGGAAACCCAGCGGAUGUAACAAUCCGUUAUCACUAAGUGAAUACAUAGCUUAGUAGAAGGUAGACGUGGGGAACUGAAACAUCUAAGUACCCACAGGAAGAGAAAGAAAAAUCGAUUCCCUCAGUAGCGGCGAGCGAACGGGGAAGAGCCCAAACCGAGAAGCUUGCUUUUCGGGGUUGUAGGACUGAACAUCUGAGUUACCAAGAGACGAAGUAAUUGAAUGAUUUGGGAAAAUCAGCCAGAGAAGGUGAAAGCCCUGUAAAUGAAACUUCGUUUCCUCAGUUCAGGAUCCUGAGUACGGCGGAACACGUGAAACUCCGUCGGAAUCCGGGAGGACCAUCUCCCAAGGCUAAAUACUCCCUAGUGACCGAUAGUGAACCAGUACCGUGAGGGAAAGGUGAAAAGCACCCCGGAAGGGGAGUGAAACAGUUCCUGAAACCAUGUGCCUACAAGUAGUUAGAGCCCGUUAAUGGGUGAUAGCGUGCCUUUUGUAGAAUGAACCGGCGAGUUAUGUUAGCAUGCGAGGUUAAGGCGGAAAGGCCGGAGCCGUAGCGAAAGCGAGUCUGAAUAGGGCGUCAGAGUAUGUUGAUGUAAACCCGAAACCAAGUGACCUACCCAUGUCCAGGUUGAAGGUGCGGUAAAACGCACUGGAGGACCGAACCCGUGUAUGUUGAAAAAUGCUGGGAUGAGGUGUGGGUAGCGGUGAAAUUCCAAACGAACUUGGAGAUAGCUGGUUCUCUCCGAAAUAGCUUUAGGGCUAGCCUCGGAAGAAGGAUAGUGGAGGUAGAGCACUGUUUGGACUAGGGGCCCAUCAUGGGUUACUGAAUUCAGAUAAACUCCGAAUGCCACAUAUCUAUAUCCGGGAGUCAGACUGCGAGUGAUAAGAUCCGUAGUCGAAAGGGAAACAGCCCAGACCACCAAUUAAGGUCCCUAAAUAUGUGUUAAGUGGAAAAGGAUGUGGAAUUGCACAGACAACUAGGAUGUUGGCUCAGAAGCAGCCACCAUUUAAAGAGUGCGUAAUAGCUCACUAGUCGAGUGGUCCUGCGCCGAAAAUGUAACGGGGCUAAACACAUUACCGAAAUUGUGGAUGCAUCCGUAAGGAUGCGUGGUAGGAGAGCGUUCUAAGGGCGAUGAAGCUAGACUGUAAGGACUGGUGGAGCGCUUAGAAGUGAGAAUGCCGGUAUGAGUAGCGAAAGAUAGGUGAGAAUCCUAUCCACCGUAUGACUAAGGUUUCCUGGGGAAGGCUCGUCCACCCAGGGUUAGUCGGGACCUAAGCCGAGGCCGAGAGGCGUAGGCGAUGGAUAACAGGUUGAGAUUCCUGUACUAGUUAAAUUUGUUUGAACAAUGGAGGGACGCAGGAGGCUAGAGAAGCGCACUGAUGGAUAUGUGCGUCCAAGCAAUAAGUCUAUUGAUGAGUCAAAUGCUUAUCGAUAUCANNNNNNNNNNNNNNNNNNNNNNNNNNNNNNNNNNNNNNNNNNNNNNNNNNNNNNNNNNNNNNNNNNNNNNNNNNNNNNNNNNNNNNNNNNNNNNNGUCAGGACAAGUUGUGAUGGGGAGCGAAAUUAAGUAGCGAAGUAAUUGAUGUCACACUGCCGAGAAAAGCUUCUAGUAAGAAUUUAAUUACCCGUACCGCAAACCGACACAGGUAGUCGAGGAGAGUAUCCUCAGGUGAGCGAGAGAACUCUCGUUAAGGAACUCGGCAAAAUGACCCCGUAACUUCGGGAGAAGGGGUGCUGAGCGCAAGCUCAGCCGCAGUGAAUAGGCCCAGGCGACUGUUUAUCAAAAACACAGGUUUCUGCAAAAUCGUAAGAUGAAGUAUAGGGGCUGACGCCUGCCCGGUGCUGGAAGGUUAAGAGGAUGGGUUAGCGUAAGCGAAGCUCAGAAUUGAAGCCCCAGUAAACGGCGGCCGUAACUAUAACGGUCCUAAGGUAGCGAAAUUCCUUGUCGGGUAAGUUCCGACCCGCACGAAAGGCGUAACGAUCUGGGCACUGUCUCAACGAGAGACUCGGUGAAAUUAUAAUACCCGUGAAGAUGCGGGUUACCCGCGACAGGACGGAAAGACCCCAUGGAGCUUUACUGUAGCUUGAUAUUGGGUGUUUGUACAACUUGUACAGGAUAGGUAGGAGCCAUUGAAGUCGGGACGCUAGUCUCGACUGAGGCGUUGGUGGGAUACUACCCUCGUUGUAUGAACACUCUAACCCGCGCCGGCAAACACGGCGGGAGACAGUGUCAGGUAGGCAGUUUGACUGGGGCGGUCGCCUCCUAAAAGGUAACGGAGGCGCCCAAAGGUUCCCUCAGAAUGGUUGGAAAUCAUUCGUAGAGUGUAAAGGCAUAAGGGAGCUUGACUGCGAGACUUACAAGUCGAGCAGGGACGAAAGUCGGGCUUAGUGAUCCGGUGGUUCCGCAUGGAAGGGCCAUCGCUCAACGGAUAAAAGCUACCCUGGGGAUAACAGGCUUAUCUCCCCCAAGAGUCCACAUCGACGGGGAGGUUUGGCACCUCGAUGUCGGCUCAUCGCAUCCUGGGGCUGUAGUCGGUCCCAAGGGUUGGGCUGUUCGCCCAUUAAAGCGGUACGCGAGCUGGGUUCAGAACGUCGUGAGACAGUUCGGUCCCUAUCCGUCGCGGGCGUAGGAAAUUUGAGAGGAUCUGUCCUUAGUACGAGAGGACCGGGAUGGACAUACCGCUGGUGUACCAGUUGUUCUGCCAAGAGCAUCGCUGGGUAGCUACGUAUGGAUGAGAUAAACGCUGAAAGCAUCUAAGCGCGAAACUCACCUCGAGAUAAGAUUUCCCAUUCCUAUAUGGAAGUAAGACCCCUGAAAGAUGAUCAGGUAGAUAGGAUGGAAGUGGAAGCACGGUGACGUGUGAAGCGGACCAUUACUAAUCGGUCGAGGACUUAACCAA
rnacentral:rRNA from 1 species